GUGAGCAGGGAUUUAACUUUGGAUUGAUGGAGACGUCUGCAGCUCCAGGCUGGCUCCUCCUAAUCGUGCCCUCAAGAUUGGGUCCUCCGAGGAGCAUCUGGUUCCGAAUCCUUCACCGGCACCCCGCUAAUCUGACAGCUCUGUCCAACUCGCCGCGAACGCAGUGGAACCCGCAUUGCUGAUUCAGCUCCACAGAUCGCUUCAUGGUUAGCGGGGGCAGAGAAGGACUUGGUGGCUGUCUCCCAGAAUCCUUUGCAUCAUGUCCUCUGAAAACAUCACAAUCUGUUUUUAACAUGCCUAGAUUUGUGCAUAAUCUCUGGCUGAUGAAAAUGGAUCCAUAUGUUGCUCUGGAUUCCGGAAAGUACCUCAUUGCUGGCUCUGCGGACAUGGCUUUAGGGACUUCUGCGAGAACGGAAGGUCAGCGUUCCUUGCUGUUCCUCUUGCGCUGGCUUCCUCAACCGAGAAACCUCUCAAGAGCCAAUGUGGACAUUUCUGGCACAGUGAACAUCCCCUUCUGACUGUUCCCAUAGCAGGACCGUGAGCUGCAGUCUCUCAUGCUCAUUCUCUAGGAAACACUUUAGGAACCUUAAUGUACAUGGCAGAAGCGAUUUACCUUCUCAGGAAGCAGAGGAUUGAAACCUCACUGGCUCCAAGAUGAGCUGAUCCUGAUUGGCUGAGUGUGUCCCUCAGCAGGGCGUGUCUGGCACGGCAGUGAUGGACAUGGGCAGCAGAUGGGGGUGUUUUAUCAGUCUCCAGUGAGCUACAUGUAAGGUGGGGUCCAAUAUGAUUUGGAUUCCCAUGAAACAGACAGCCAGGCUGCUCAGCUUUCAUUCAGCUGAUGAUUCUCAGCAUCAGUGGAGUUAAGGUUAGUGGUUAAGGACCAGGGUUCAGGGUUAGUUUAUUCUUUGGAAUUUUAAAUCCAUUUCUUUGGAUAUUAUACAGUAUUUGUGUGUAAUUUGUACACAUAAUUCCAGCAAACUUUAGUCACCGGAUUGAAAGCGGACAGCCUAUCAAACAGUGGGUAGCUCUCUAUAAGGAAAUCCCAGAAUGUGACAGGAGAAAAUGGUGCUGUGUCCUGCAAUCGGGGUCCAACUGAGUCAGCAGGAACUUGGUCAUCCGUGCUGCUUUGUGUCUGAGGUUCCCAAUGCAGAGAACUAGGAAAUUCAUGCGGACUCAGCGAAUGCGGGGAAAGGCUGCAUGUGGAUUAUUCUGAAGAGGUUGUGACAGGAGAGAAGAGGCAGGGGGCCACAGUCCACCCAUCACCCGCUUUAAUGAGCGCUUUUGUGUAGGGUUGGGGGCAGAGCACACGCUCGGCCAGCAACCCUGCUCUUAAUUACUCUUCAGGUAGAUC